GUUGGAUUCAGGUUGUUGGACCAGGGAGACGUCUAGGGAGACACUGGCCCUCGAGGACCAGGAGUGCCCACCCCUGGUCUAAGUGGUAUUUAUCAACUGGGGUGUCCUUAUUUUACAAGAACUGCCUUAAUAACUUCUGAUUAAAUGGACGAUUGCCGCUUUUGGUGUUGUGAAGCUUUUCCAACCUUUUCAUCAAGCUUCCUGACCUCAGGAGACCCUCCAUGCUACUGUAAGUUAUCCGCACACCAGGAGCACAGAUGGAUCAGCAAGGAAUGCCGGAGUCCUAUUGGUUCGGAGCGGCGUUAUAAAUACGCUUGUAAUGAGAAAUACUGGGAAAAACACCAGCUCCCACAGCCGCACAGACAUAUGCUGCGAAUAUUCCUGUAAAUGUUCUGAUCACUGACAUCUGCCUCUUUGGGGAGAAAAAAAAAAAGAGAAAAAAAAAGUCUGCUGUCGUCUGAAGUGGAAGACAUUUUAACCAGAUUUUCUGGGUAGAAGCUAUGUUUCUUAGAAAUGCAGUUUCAGAAAUGAGACUGAAUCCAGCUGAUAUUAAGGCUGACUUUUAGUCCACGAGUUCUCCAACCAAGAUUUAAAAAGAGGAACGGGUCGAGGGCUCUGGAUAGCAGUAUCUUUCACUACAACGUAACGUUAGCUUGGCUGGUCAUGGGUUUAGCACUAAAAAUGAAAUUAGCAGCGCUAACAAGAUUAGAGGUGCUAAUUACAGACCUGUGCUGAUUGAUACAGAAAAAGACUUUUUCAUUUAACCCACAUUUGUACAGAUAUUGCUUGAACAUAUUAAUUUCCCCUUCAGUGUUUUCCCAUUUUGUUAUGUAAUGUGACAAGUAUUAUGAAUUUUAUACUAAAUGCUAACAAACUUUAAGAAAGUGACUGAAUGGCUCACAUAUCAUCAUCUUCCUAAAAUAAAAGGUCUAAGUAAUUUUUUGCAAAAAGUGAUUUUUUUUUUAUCUAAACUAUCUUUUGCCCAAAAAAAAAAAAAAUUAAAAAGGUGAUCUAUUCUUUAAUCACUUUUGGCAAAAAAGACUAAGGGUGUUAUUUUAGGAAGGUCACAAUAUAUUAUCGUUUAUCUUAACUUCUGGGACAAUUUAUCCUCCAGCAACAUUUCUUAUCAUGAGAGCCCAAUGUAUUAAACAUACUGUUCAUUAGGCCCACAUUUCUGUUUUAAAAAGUAGUUUGUUUAGUAGCCUGGUGUAAUAUUCUAAUUUUAAAUGUUUUCAUUACUUGUAAGAGGAAAAUCAUUCCAUAUAACAGAAAUGCUUUCAAACAUCCAUCUGUGUGUCGUUAUCUAUACAAUGAGCUUUCACUUACUGAUAAAGUUACUCAAAUGAA